rfam:Triticum urartu cultivar G1812 contig621088, whole genome shotgun sequence.
UCUUGGUGAUGAUCAACACUGAUUAGAUGGCUGAUACAAUCCAUUCCUUAAACCAUGGGGACAAUACGAGGCAUUUGUCUGAGAGAA